UUAAGCGACUAAGCGUACACGGUGGAUGCCCUGGCAGUCAGAGGCGAUGAAGGACGUGCUAAUCUGCGAAAAGCGUCGGUAAGGUGAUAUGAACCGUUAUAACCGGCGAUGUCCGAAUGGGGAAACCCAGUGCAAUUCGUUGCACUAUCGUUAACUGAAUACAUAGGUUAACGAGGCGAACCGGGGGAACUGAAACAUCUAAGUACCCCGAGGAAAAGAAAUCAACCGAGAUUCCCCCAGUAGCGGCGAGCGAACGGGGAGCAGCCCAGAGUCUGAAUCAGCUUGUGUGUUAGUGGAACGGUCUGGAAAGUCCGACGGUACAGGGUGAUAGUCCCGUACACCAAAAUGCACAGGCUGUGAACUCGAAGAGUAGGGCGGGACACGUGGUAUCCUGUCUGAAUAUGGGGGGACCAUCCUCCAAGGCUAAAUACUCCUGACUGACCGAUAGUGAACCAGUACCGUGAGGGAAAGGCGAAAAGAACCCCGGCGAGGGGAGUGAAAAAGAACCUGAAACCGUGUACGUACAAGCAGUGGGAGCACCUUCGGGUGUGACUGCGUACCUUUUGUAUAAUGGGUCAGCGACUUAUAUUCUGUAGCAAGGUUAACCGUAUAGGGGAGCCGCAGGGAAACCGAGUCUUAACUGGGCGUUAAGUUGCAGGGUAUAGACCCGAAACCCGGUGAUCUAGCCAUGGGCAGGUUGAAGGUUGGGUAACACUAACUGGAGGACCGAACCGACUAAUGUUGAAAAAUUAGCGGAUGACUUGUGGCUGGGGGUGAAAGGCCAAUCAAACCGGGAGAUAGCUGGUUCUCCCCGAAAGCUAUUUAGGUAGCGCCUCGUGAACUCAUCUUCGGGGGUAGAGCACUGUUUCGGCUAGGGGGUCAUCCCGACUUACCAACCCGAUGCAAACUACGAAUACCGAAGAAUGUUAUCACGGGAGACACACGGCGGGUGCUAACGUCCGUCGUGAAGAGGGAAACAACCCAGACCGCCAGCUAAGGUCCCAAAGUCAUGGUUAAGUGGGAAACGAUGUGGGAAGGCACAGACAGCCAGGAUGUUGGCUUAGAAGCAGCCAUCAUUUAAAGAAAGCGUAAUAGCUCACUGGUCGAGUCGGCCUGCGCGGAAGAUGUAACGGGGCUAAACCAUGCACCGAAGCUGCGGCAGCGACACUAUGUGUUGUUGGGUAGGGGAGCGUUCUGUAAGCCUGCGAAGGUGACCUGUGAGGGUUGCUGGAGGUAUCAGAAGUGCGAAUGCUGACAUAAGUAACGAUAAAGCGGGUGAAAAGCCCGCUCGCCGGAAGACCAAGGGUUCCUGUCCAACGUUAAUCGGGGCAGGGUGAGUCGACCCCUAAGGCGAGGCCGAAAGGCGUAGUCGAUGGGAAACAGGUUAAUAUUCCUGUACUUGGUGUUACUGCGAAGGGGGGACGGAGAAGGCUAUGUUAGCCGGGCGACGGUUGUCCCGGUUUAAGCAUGUAGGCUGGUUAUCCAGGCAAAUCCGGAUAAUCAAGGCUGAGGUGUGAUGACGAGGCACUACGGUGCUGAAGUAACAAAUGCCCUGCUUCCAGGAAAAGCCUCUAAGCAUCAGGUAACAUUAAAUCGUACCCCAAACCGACACAGGUGGUCAGGUAGAGAAUACCAAGGCGCUUGAGAGAACUCGGGUGAAGGAACUAGGCAAAAUGGUGCCGUAACUUCGGGAGAAGGCACGCUGGUGUGUAGGUGAAGCCCCUGCGGGUGGAGCUGAGACCAGUCGAAGAUACCAGCUGGCUGCAACUGUUUAUUAAAAACACAGCACUGUGCAAACACGAAAGUGGACGUAUACGGUGUGACGCCUGCCCGGUGCCGGAAGGUUAAUUGAUGGGGUUAUCCGUAAGGAGAAGCUCUUGAUCGAAGCCCCGGUAAACGGCGGCCGUAACUAUAACGGUCCUAAGGUAGCGAAAUUCCUUGUCGGGUAAGUUCCGACCUGCACGAAUGGCGUAAUGAUGGCCAGGCUGUCUCCACCCGAGACUCAGUGAAAUUGAACUCGCUGUGAAGAUGCAGUGUACCCGCGGCAAGACGGAAAGACCCCGUGAACCUUUACUAUAGCUUGACACUGAACAUUGAGCCUUGAUGUGUAGGAUAGGUGGGAGGCUUUGAAGCGUGGACGCCAGUCUGCGUGGAGCCAACCUUGAAAUACCACCCUUUAAUGUUUGAUGUUCUAACGUUGGCCCCUUACCGGGGUUGCGGACAGUGUCUGGUGGGUAGUUUGACUGGGGCGGUCUCCUCCCAAAGCGUAACGGAGGAGCACGAAGGUUAGCUAAUCCUGGUCGGACAUCAGGAGGUUAGUGCAAUGGCAUAAGCUAGCUUGACUGCGAGCGUGACGGCGCGAGCAGGUGCGAAAGCAGGUCAUAGUGAUCCGGUGGUUCUGAAUGGAAGGGCCAUCGCUCAACGGAUAAAAGGUACUCCGGGGAUAACAGGCUGAUACCGCCCAAGAGUUCAUAUCGACGGCGGUGUUUGGCACCUCGAUGUCGGCUCAUCACAUCCUGGGGCUGAAGUAGGUCCCAAGGGUAUGGCUGUUCGCCAUUUAAAGUGGUACGCGAGCUGGGUUUAGAACGUCGUGAGACAGUUCGGUCCCUAUCUGCCGUGGGCGCUGGAGAAUUGAGGGGGGCUGCUCCUAGUACGAGAGGACCGGAGUGGACGCAUCACUGGUGUUCGGGUUGUCAUGCCAAUGGCACUGCCCGGUAGCUAAAUGCGGAAGAGAUAAGUGCUGAAAGCAUCUAAGCACGAAACUUGCCCCGAGAUGAGUUCUCCCUGAGACUUUAAGUCUCCUGAAGGAACGUUGAAGACGACGACGUUGAUAGGCCGGGUGUGUAAGCGCAGCGAUGCGUUGAGCUAACCGGUACUAAUGAACCGUGAGGCUUAACCUU
rnacentral:rRNA from 1 species